GACGAACGCUGGCGGCGUGCUUAACACAUGCAAGUCGAACGGAAAGGCCUGCUUUCCCUUGUGGAUUGCGGGUACUCGAGUGGCGAACGGGUGAGUAACACGUGAGUGAUCUGCCCCCAACUUGGGUAUAAGCCUGGGUAACUGGGUCUAAUUCCCGAUAGUACUGCAGGGUGGUGCCUGUGUUGGAAACCGAUUUUCUAGUGUUUGGGGAUGAGCUCGGGGCCUAUCAGCUUGUUGUUGGGGUAAUGGCCUACCAAGGCGGCGACGGGUAGCCGGCCUGGGAGGGUGGACGGCCACAAUGGGACGGAGAGACGGCCCAGAAUGCGAGGGGAGGCAGCAGUGGGGAAUAUGGCAGGAUGGGCGGAAGCCUAAUGAAGCGACGCCGCGGGGGGGAUGACGGGCUUCGGGUAGUAAACUCCUUGCGACCGAGAGGAAGCCACCUGGUUGGAAGGGGGGUGACGGUAGUGGUAGAAGAAGCACCGGCUAACUACGUG
rnacentral:rRNA from 1 species